rnacentral:rRNA from 1 species
UACGGGGGGGGCAAGCGUUGUUCGGAAUUACUGGGCGUAAAGGGCUCGUAGGUGGCCAACUAAGUCAGACGUGAAAUCCCUCGGCUUAACCGGGGAACUGCGUCUGAUACUGGAUGGCUAGAGUUUGGGAGAGGGAUGCGGAAUUCCAGGUGUAGCGGUGAAAUGCGCAGAUAUCAGGAGGAACACCCGUAGCGAAGGCGGCACUCUGGGCCGAUACUGACACUGAGGAGCGAAAGCGUGGGGAGCGAACAGG